rnacentral:rRNA from 1 species
GACGAACGCUGGCGGCGUGCUUAACACAUGCAAGUCGAACGGUGAAGCGAGUGCUUGCACUCGUGGAUCAGUGGCGAACGGGUGAGUAACGCGUGAGUAACCUGCCCAUCACUCUGGGAUAAGCACUGGAAACGGUGUCUAAUACUGGAUACGACCAACCCUUGCAUGGGGUGUUGGUGGAAAGAUUUAUCGGUGAUGGAUGGACUCGCGGCCUAUCAGCUUGUUGGCGGGGUAAUGGCCCACCAAGGCGACGACGGGUAGCCGGCCUGAGAGGGUGACCGGCCACACUGGGACUGAGACACGGCCCAGACUCCUACGGGAGGCAGCAGUGGGGUAUAUUGCACAAUGGGCGAAAGCCUGAUGCAGCGACGCCGCGUGAGGGAUGACGGCCUUCGGGUUGUAAACCUCUUUCAGCAGGGAAGAAGCGAAAGUGACGGUACCUGCAGAAGAAGCACCGGCUAACUACGUG